rnacentral:lncRNA from 1 species
UGCUAAUAUUUGACCCAUAUUUAAGUGUGCAAAAACCUUCUCAAGGCAGCACAACAUCUUUUGAUUUUUUAACAUCAGCACUGAGUUUACCUGUUUUUUUUCUUUGGUCACUUUUGUCUUCUUCCUUUCCCAUUCUCUUCUUUAGUUGACAAGCACUGGCUACCAUCUAUGUGUCAACAAUUGUGUCAUGAGUUUGAGAUGGGCCGACAGCACGUGGAACUCAAAGGUGACUAAGGGAGAAAGGAAAGUAAAUCAAUGAUCAGAGUCCAGAGAGCUACAUGCAGUGCAACCCAUGGUUUUAUGGGAGAACCGACAGGGGCACCUCACUCUGGAAGGAACAACGCCAGGAGAGGCUUUGAGGUGCCGAUAAUGUCCAGGAACUUGUUUGGAAUUGAGCCUUGAUUCUGAAAAGAAAGUAUCAGAGGGCAGCAUUUGAACUGGCAUUUAAGGUGUCAACCAGGGGGAAUUUGGUGCCGACCAGUAAAAGGGGAGAAUCAAAAACAGAAGCUCCAUCACCAGGGACAGGGCCAGACUCCUGACUAGAAACUCAGUGGAUGUGCUGAAUCAUUCGGAUACUUUCCAGAAAAUUAUUUUACCUACUCAGAAGGCUGGGCAUCAGCCAAAACUGUCUGGAAAACCACAAGGAAAGACAUUUCCAUGAAGUAACUAGAGUUUUGGGCUUCUACUCUAGAGGAAUAUAAGAGGAACUUUCUUUAAAGAGUAUGCAGGUGGUUCCUUUUAAGCUCACCUGUCUGGUUUUUCAAACAGAUCAAGGGGUGAUGGCAGGGAAACGUCUCCCCUGGAAAUCUCACCCCUCCAUUUGCUAAAGAGAAGGAGCUUCAAUCCCUUGACAGGAUGAUGAAACAAUAAUAAACUGAUGUGACCAAGUCUCAUGCCAGCAGUCCUACCUGUGGCCCACCCUUCUCGUGGCCAACAAUGGCUUUUCUUAAAUAAAUAAAAAUCAAGAUUUGUACCACUCCUGCUGUAAGCUCUUCAGUGGCUCAUGGAUGAAUGAACAGGAUCACCAUUGGCACACAAGUCCCCCCACAGAUCACCUACUCAUCUUUCCACCCCAGCUUUUGCCAUUCUCUCCCCAUCCCACAAAUCCAUUGCCAUCCAAAGAUAAGAAAGAUACCAGAUAGGGCUUCCCAGUUGCAGCAGAGUGGACUGUCUUUACACUGGAGGGCUAUUCUUCCACAAAGAAGUCUUCUCCCCCGUGGGAAGGGAUUGGAGUACUUCUCCUAGGCACUAUGUGAGCAGAUGGUUGAGAAAUGAGCUAGCCCUUGAGCUUCUGCAGCAAGGGAGGGUCCCAUCAUGAGAGCAGAUGGUAUGGGAAAUGCACCAGUUUGGAAUUGGGAGGAACAAGUUUCAGGCCUGACUCAGAUACAGAUACUUGCCAUCAUCAGUAUGCCCUUGAAUGAACUAUAAAGUGUCUCUGAACCUCUGUUGUCUCCUUUGCAGUGUUGAGCCAAGGUUAUAUACCACACAGGGAUUGAGGAAGAGGAAUUAAGGCAGCGUACAUGGAAGUGGCUGGCUCAGUCAUCACUGGCUAAACGCUACUUGAAUUCCAUUCUAAAACUCCACAUAGAAAGGCAAUUUGACAAAAUUUGAUCAUCCCUUCACCCCAAUUAUCACCCCGUGAACUUUUCUUCCAUUUAUCACCCUUGGAUUUCGUAGCUCGGCACACACAGUCUUUCUCCCUCUCUCACUUCUUUCUUUCUCUCCUUUUUUCUUCUUCUGUUAAACCUAAGAAAUUCUAAUGCUGAAGAGGGUUUUCUUAAGGUGAUUCUCCUGGAAAAGAUGACUCUUUAAGCAAAAAUUCAGACUUUCUCUAGAGUGACCGAGACAUGUAGGUGGCGGUAGCAAUACAGGCUGACCUUCCAGCAUGGUCCUGGGAACCACAGGUCAGCUCUGCUGCAGAUGCCCAGACAGCGUGUCUCUUCCUGAAACAAAUCGACUUCCACAUGGCUCUUCUGAAGACUAAGAUGGCCACGUCUAUCUAAUGAACCCAUCCUGCCACCUCCAUUUGGGUCCUGGAAAUGGACCGAGCUCUUUUGUGGUUCCCUGUACAUUUCAGCGUGCAUCUUUAGCUAUGAGAGGUCAUUUGCUGCCAG